rnacentral:piRNA from 2 species
UGAUACACAUUAUAGGAGUUUGCAGCAGC